GACCUUCUGGUGUGCCUUGUUUAGGAAAGGUGUUAGACCAGCCUCUUACCUACCUAAUCAGCUAGUCCAGACAGUGGGGUGUUUCUCAAUUGGGCAACUCCCCAUGUCUUUCAACUGGGCUCUUCCAGUAUUUUUUCAACUGGGGGUGCUGUGGCGGGGUGCGCACCUAUUAGACAUCACCAAAUACAACUCAGGAUUGUCAACCAAUCAAUAGUCAGAAGGUUCAAAAACCAGGAAAGGCUCACCCAAAUUCACCAGAACUUUCUGAGGAGGUGGACAGGCACAAGAGGCCUCUGCUGGAACAAGGCUCAGGUUCUCAUAGUGUUCAAGGAAAGUUACUUAUCAGAAAGAAGGCCGAAGAGUCACUGAACUGCCAGACUCAAUUACUGGGUUACUGACACCAGUCUAUGACUGUCUUUGAAACAAUGCAAGAGGAAGACAUCAAGAUACUAUCAUCUUUGUUCCUCAUCACUGACUCCUGACUGCAAGCCCUCAUCUUAUAUAAGUCCCUAGACUCCUCAUGGGGGCUUGGUACAGUUCUUGAGACAGGAGCCUACUGUGUUUCCCUCUCUGCCGCUGAGAAUUAAAGCCACCUCUAUUUCCUCCAAACUCUGUCUCCGUAUUUUUUUUUUUAUUAUUCAGCUUCAGUGGGUAGAGAAGGACAAGAUUUUGGCCAGCAGCAUGUGGAGGACUGAAGCCUGGGAUACAAUCUCUCAGAUAACUGAGGGACUAUUCCAAAGAGAUAAGAGAGACUCCAGGAUAUACAGGAGUUUUUGGAAAACAAAACCAAACCAGGCAACCUUCUUUGUCCAUACUGUCUGUGUCCUGUUCCCAAGGCCACAGGUGAGAGACUUUGCACCAAGGCCACAGAAGAGGAGCCCAGAACCAAGAACACCUCCAAAGCUGACUGAAUCCCUUUGUAACCUGACCAAAAGCCCCUUGAUCAUCACUAACAAGCUUCCUGACUCCCAGUUAAGCAAAGAUGCCCACUCCUAUAGCGCCCAAACAAUCAACUAAGGCAAACUAUGCAGCAGGAAUUUUGUCUUGAGGCUAUAAAAAUCGGCUAUUAUCCUACAGAAACUGUCCACUCUCCCUGGCCUGUCAGGAGUUGUUGGCCUGCUGCUCCCCAGGUGCUCACUUUAUCUCUGCUCUUUGUUCUUAAUAAACUCACUCCCUUCUGAAAUACUCUGUCUGGAAAUUCUUUUCCAACCCGCGCUCGGACUGCCUCAAUGCAUACGCUCAUAGGGUUUACACUUACAUGAAAGAUGCGUGCAGUUUUGCAG
ensembl:lncRNA